UAACACGUGGGUAACCUGCCCAUAAAACUGGGAUAACUCCGGGAAACCGGGGCUAAUACCGGAUAACAUUUUGAACCGCAGGGUUCGAAAUUGAAAGGCGGCUUCGGCUGUCACUUAUGGAUGGACCCGCGUCCCAUUAGCUAGUUGGUGAGGUAACGGCUCACCAAGGCAACGAUGCGUACCCAACCUGAGAGGGUGAUCGGCCACACUGGGACUGAAACACGGCCCAAACUCCUACGGGAGGCAGCAGUAGGGAAUCUUCCGCAAUGGACAAAAGUCUGACGGAGCACCGCCCCGGGAGUGAUGAAGGCUUUCGGGUCGUAAAACUCUGUUGUUAGGGAAAAACAAGUGCUAGUUGAAUAAGCUGGCACCUUGACGGUACCUAACCAGAAAGCCACGGCUAACUACUUGCCAGCAGCCGCGGUAAUACGUAGGUGGCAAGCGUUAUCCGGAAUUAUUGGGCGUAAAGCGCGCGCAGGUGGUUUCUUAAUUCUGAUGUGAAAGCCCACGGCUCACCCGUGAAGGGUCAUUGGAAACUGGGAGACUUGAGUGCAGAAGAGGAAAGUGGAAUUCCAUGUGUAGCGGUGAAAUGCGUAGAGAUAUGGAGGAACACCAUUGGCGAAGGCGACUUUCUGGUCUGUAACUGACACUGAGGCGCGAAAGCGUGGGGGAGCAAACAGGAUUAGAUACCCUGGUAGUCCACGCCGUAAACGAUGAGUGCUAAGUGUUAG
rnacentral:rRNA from 2 species